AAAGUUUUGACGUUUGAAAACAACUUGAACAAAAAACAAUCUCCGGCGUUUGAGAUUCUUCCGAGCGAUCUUAGAAUUUUUCCGGCGCUGGAAUUAAUUCCGGUCCAAUAAAAAUACGAUGACGGAGAGCAAUUGGCGGCGAAGAGAGCUUGCAUUUCUGAUUGUUUAUGCCGUUGCCUUCUACGCUUUUGUCAUCCGUCGCUCUCUCCAACUCUCCCAUGAUUACUAUACCAAGCUUUAUGGUUUACGUCCUGGCUGGAUCGCUAAUCGCCUAAAUGAUGCCUCUGAUGCCCAGUGGAGGAACUUUCGAGGGAAUCUACAAAUUCUUACUGUAGUUUUUGGAAUUUUUACACUUGUAGCUAAUGUAUUGAGAACCUACCGUUGUUUAAGGGCGAAAGGCAUGGCAUAUGUUUGGCUCCUAAUUUCUUUGGCAUACUUAUCAUAUCUACACGGAGCUUGCAUCAUAUUUAUUCUCACCAUUGCUUCAGCCAAUUUUUUGCUUGUCAAGAUAUUUGGCAGGACAAAAUACUUCUCGUACUUGCUUUGGACUUUCAAUUUAUCAUUUCUGGUCUGUAAUCGUGUAUAUGGAGGAUAUCAAUUCUCCAGUUUUGGGCAACAUUGGGCUUUCCUGGACAACUUUCGUGGUACCUUUAGAUGGCAUAUCUGCUUUAACUUUGUUGUAUUGCGCAUGAUAAGCUAUGGUUAUGACUACCACUGGAUGGACCAAAAUAAUCGAUUUGAUCAAGAGAAGCACAUCCAACGUUGCAGUACUUGUACAUCCGGAAAGAUAUGCUAUAUGUCAUUACAGGAGAGAAGUGUACAGAAUGACAAAUUCUCUUUUGCUGUGUACUUGUGUUAUCUGGUGUAUGCACCUCUUUAUAUUGCUGGACCAAUUAUUAGCUUUAAUGCAUUUGCUUCACAGUUGGAUACUCCUCAAAAGAAUUACUCAUCUAAACAAGUGGUAUGGUAUGGAUUCCGGUGGAUUCUAAGCCUUUUCCUGAUGGAACUAAUGACACAUUUCUUUUACUACAAUGCUUUUGCCAUCAGUGGUAUGUGGAAACAGUUAACUCCUAUGGACAACUUUAUCAUUGGUUACGGGGUCCUUAACUUCAUGUGGCUGAAAUUCUUUCUCCUGUGGCGAUAUUUUCGAUUCUGGUCACUGAUCAGUGGCAUUGAGGCCCCUGAGAAUAUGCCAAGGUGCUUAAAUAAUUGUUACAAUCUUGAGACUUUUUGGAAAAAUUGGCAUGCUUCCUACAACAAGUGGCUUGUGAGGUACAUGUAUAUUCCCCUUGGAGGUGCUCAAAGAAAGCUGCUAAAUGUUUGGGUUGUCUUCACAUUUGUAGCCAUAUGGCAUGAUUUAGAGUGGAAACUUCUUUCCUGGGCAUGGUUGACUUGUCUAUUCUUCAUACCAGAGAUUCUUGUUAAGUCAGCAGCUAACACUUUUAAGGUGCAGAGUGUUUUUGGGGAAUUCUUGUUACGCGAACUUAAUGCAGUUGCUGGUGCUGUUACCAUCACUUGUCUCAUGGUGGCGAAUCUUGUUGGAUUUGUCAUUGGGCCAUCAGGCAUUAAUUGGUUGAUUUCUGGGUUUCUCCAUAAAGAAGGAUUACCUACAUUUGGUGGCAUGUUCAUUAGCUUCUAUAUUGGGACUAAGCUUAUGUUCCACAUAUCUGAUUCUCAGCAAAAGCGGCUUAAAAAGUCAACGAUGUAAAGGUUAAAUUCUUGCCCAUCAUAAAAUUUCUGAUGUUCUACUGCCUAAUGUUGGUAUCAAAGUUUGGUUUCUCUGGGAAGGGGAGUUUUAGGUAGAGAGAAGCUGGGAAGGGCUGUUGGGCCAUCAUUGUGAGAAGUCAGUAACCUAGCACUGUGAAAGAACAUUCCCUGAUCUAUUCAUCAUGAAGGCGAACAAACUCUUCCUAGUGUUAUAGCAGAUGAUAACUACCUUGUACGAGAUGUCUUUACAGUUGAGGCUUUUUGGCGUCUGAAGCUGAUUAGACAAUGCUGUUUGCCUGCCUUGAUGUUUUCCGGUAGAUAUUAUAUUGACCAGUUCCAUUCUGCUUGUACUUGGAUAGAAACUGUUAUUCCAAAUUUUUCACUCAUGUCCAUGUGUUGAGGUAGCAUGUUGUCUGGGAGAGACCACUCAAAAUGAUAAAUCAAAGAAGCCAAGGUCAAGCAUACUUGCCUAGCUGCCAUAGGCAAUCCAGGACACAUCCUCCUUCCAGCACCAAAAGGCAAGAAUUCAAAGUCAUUCCCUUUGAAAUCCAAGUCACAACUGAGAAACCUCUCUGGAUUGAAGCUUGAUGGAUCUUCCCA